rnacentral:rRNA from 1 species
AUUAACGCUAGCGGCAGGCAUAAUACAUGCAAGUUGAACGGCAGCACAGGUAGCAAUACUGGGUGGCGAGUGGCGCACGGGUGCGUAACACGUAUGCAACCUACCCUAUACAGGCGAAUAACCUUUAGAAGUGAGGGCUAAUACGCCGUAGUAUUACAGAUGGGCAUCUAUUUGUAAUUAAAGAUUUAUCGGUAUAGGAUGGGCAUGCGUCCCAUUAGUUAGUUGGUAAGGUAACGGCUUACCAAGACGAUGAUGGG